rnacentral:rRNA from 1 species
GUAGGGGUGCGAGCGUUAAUCGGAAUUACUGGGCGUAAAGCGUGCGCAGGCGGUUCGCUAAGACCGAUGUGAAAUCCCCGGGGCUUAACCUGGGAACUGCAUUGGUGACUGGCGGGCUAGAGUAUGGCAGAGGGGGGUAGAAUUCCACGUGUAGCAGUGAAAUGCGUAGAGAUGUGGAGGAAUACCGAUGGCGAAGGCAGCCCCCUGGGCCAAUACUGACGCUCAUGCACGAAAGCGUGGGGAGCAAACAGGAUUAGAUACCCUGGUAGUCCACGCCCUAAACGAUGUCAACUAGUUGUCGGGUCUUCAUUGACUUGGUAACGUAGCUAACGCGUGAAGUUGACCGCCUGGGGAGUACGGUCGCAAGAUUA